rnacentral:rRNA from 1 species
AACGAACGCUGGCGGCAUGCCUAACACAUGCAAGUCGAACGAGAUCUUCGGAUCUAGUGGCGCACGGGGGCGGAACGCGUGGGAAUCUGCCCCUUGCUUCGGAAUAACAGUGAGAAAUUACUGCUAAUACCGGAUGAUGUCUUCGGACCAAAGAUUUAUCGGCAAGGGAUGAGCCCGCGUAGGAUUAGGUGGUUGGUGGGGAAUGGGCUAACAAGGCGACGAUCCGUAGGCGGGUUGAGAGGAUGAUCAGCCACACUGGGACUGAGACACGGCCCAGACUCCUACGGGAGGCAGCAGUGGGGAAUAUUGGACAAUGGGGUAAAGCCUGAUCCAGCAAUGCCGCGUGAGUGAUGAAGGUCUUAGGGUUGUAAAGCUCUUUUACCAGGGAUGAUAAUGACAGUACCUGGAGAAUAAGCACCGGCUAACUCCGUG